UACGUAGGUGGCAAGCGUUGUCCGGAUUUAUUGGGUUUAAAGGGUGCGUAGGCGGUUUUUUAAGUCAGUGCUGAAAUAUCCCGGCUUAACCGGGAGGGUGGCAUUGAUACUGAAGAACUUGAGUGAAGCCGAGGUAGGCGGAAUUGACGGUGUAGCGGUGAAAUGCUUAGAUAUCGUCAAGAACACCGAUAGUGAAGACAGCUUACUAGACUUCAACUGACGCUGAUGCACGAAAGUGUGGGGAUCAAACAGG
rnacentral:rRNA from 1 species